ACUUAUAGACCGCUGACACAAUAAUUUAUUACUUAUUAUGAAGUCACAUAAAAUAUAGUGUCUCUAAACAAUGGUUUUCAUUGUUUCUUAGGUUUCUGAAGUUUUGUUGGGCUCAUUGUGGUUGUUCUGUUGGCAUUGCUUGAGACCAAUCGAGUGGCUGAUAAGGCUGUGUCAUUCAAGUAUUCAGAGCACUUAGAAAGACCAUGAAUGUUGUUUGACACCUGAAGACAGAGAAGGUGGCAGAUGGAAAUAGAAGUGUCUCCUUGUGAGGUAUCUUGUGAUUGGGGAAAACUCAUCAGCCAAUCAUUUUCAAGUACCUGUAAUCAGAAGUCUCUAGUGCAUUACAGCACAGUUUCCAGUAGAACAUUUAUGUGACAGUAAUUAUGACCACAGGACAGCACUGGAACCAGCCAUGUCUUCCAUCUUCGUUACUGAAGUUAAGUUUUAAACCCAGGACAAGCUGCUGAGGUGCCUAGCCAUCACACCAAAGCAGUCCUGGCCUCCAGCAUCACUUAAUCCCUACCUGUUACAGGAUAUGUCUGGCAUACUCUUCCCUUUACCCUGAACUUUCCAGCCCAGGAACUGAGCUGCCCAUUCCUUAGAGACUCUUCCCCUAUAUAAUCCAGACAUUUUGGUCACUUAUUCUCACUGUCCUUUUGCUGCCUCUUUUGUUCCUUCUUAACCUUUGGCCUCCUGGCAGGUGUACUUGGUCCCCUCUCUCCUUUUCCCUCCUCCUCUCCCCACAUGGUUCAGGGUCAUGACGACUCUGGACUCUCCCAUAUGUUUCUGCCUCUGGCUAGAUCUCACAUAUAUGUAUAAUAAACUUUCCCUC
rnacentral:lncRNA from 1 species